rnacentral:rRNA from 1 species
AGCAGUAGCCGCGGUAAUACAGAGGGUGCGAGCGUUAAUCGGAUUUACUGGGCGUAAAGCGUGCGUAGGCGGCUUCUUAAGUCGGAUGUGAAAUCCCUGAGCUUAACUUAGGAAUUGCAUUCGAUACUGGGAAGCUAGAGUAUGGGAGAGGAUGGUAGAAUUCCAGGUGUAGCGGUGAAAUGCGUAGAGAUCGGAAGGAACACCUGUGGCGAAAGCGGCUCACUGGACAAUUACUGACGCUGAUGCACGAAAGCUAGGGGAGCAAACAGGAUUAGAUACCCCUGUAGUCCCUGUCUCUUAUAA